rnacentral:rRNA from 1 species
GAGUUUGAUCCUGGCUCAGAUUGAACGCUGGCGGCAGGCCUAACACAUGCAAGUCGAGCGAGAAAGCACUUCGGUGUGAGUACAGCGGCGGACGGGUGAGUAACGCGUAGGAAUCUACCCAGUAGUGGGGGACAACAGUCGGAAACGGCUGCUAAUACCGCAUACGCCCUAUGGGGGAAAGCGGGGGACCUUCGGGCCUCGCGCUAUUGGAUGAGCCUGCGUAAGAUUAGCUAGUUGGUGAGGUAAAGGCUCACCAAGGCGACGAUCUUUAGCUGGUCUGAGAGGAUGAUCAGCCACACUGGAACUGAGACACGGUCCAGACUCCUACGGGAGGCAGCAGUGGGGAAUAUUGCACAAUGGGGGAAACCCUGAUGCAGCCAUGCCGCGUGUGUGAAGAAGGCCCUAGGGUUGUAAAGCACUUUCAAUUGGGAGGAAAAGCUUGUCGUUAAUAGCGGCAAGCCCUGACGUUACCUUUAGAAGAAGCACCGGCUAACUCCGUGCCAGCAGCCGCGGUAAUACGGAGGGUGCGAGCGUUAAUCGGAAUUACUGGGCGUAAAGCGCGCGUAGGCGGUUGCCUCAGUCGGAUGUGAAAGCCCCGGGCUUAACCUGGGAACUGCAUCCGAUACUGGGCGACUAGAGUACGAGAGAGGGGGGUAGAAUUCCACGUGUAGCGGUGAAAUGCGUAGAUAUGUGGAGGAAUACCAGUGGCGAAGGCGGCCCCCUGGCUUGAUACUGACGCUGAGGUGCGAAAGCGUGGGGGAGCAAACAGGAUUAGAUACCCUGGUAGUCCACGCCGUAAACGAUGUCUACUAGCCGUUGGGAAACUUGAUUUCUUAGUGGCGCAGCUAACGCACUAAGUAGACCGCCUGGGGAGUACGGCCGCAAGGUUAAAACUCAAAUGAAUUGACGGGGGCCCGCACAAGCGGUGGAGCAUGUGGUUUAAUUCGAUGCAACGCGAAGAACCUUACCAGGACUUGACAUCCAGAGAACUUUCUAGAGAUAGAUUGGUGCCUUCGGGAACUCUGAGACAGGUGCUGCAUGGCUGUCGUCAGCUCGUGUCGUGAGAUGUUGGGUUAAGUCCCGUAACGAGCGCAACCCUUGUCCUUAGUUGCCAGCACGUAAUGGUGGGAACUCUAGGGAGACUGCCGGUGACAAACCGGAGGAAGGUGGGGACGACGUCAAGUCAUCAUGGCCCUUACGUCCUGGGCUACACACGUGCUACAAUGGAACGCACAGAGGGCUGCAACCUCGCAAGAGUGAGCGAAUCCCACAAAACGUUUCGUAGUCCGGAUUGGAGUCUGCAACUCGACUCCAUGAAGUCGGAAUCGCUAGUAAUCGUGAAUCAGAAUGUCACGGUGAAUACGUUCCCGGGCCUUGUACACACCGCCCGUCACACCAUGGGAGUGGGUUGCUCCAGAAGUGGUUAGCCUAACCUUCGGGAGGGCGAUCACCACGGAGUGAUUCAUGACUGGGGUGAAGUCGUAACAAGGUA